rnacentral:rRNA from 1 species
AUGGCCUGGCCCCGGCGGCACGGCUGGCAGCUUCCCCUCCACCCGCUCCAGCUCGUGGGCGCGGGGGUGUUUGCCGUCCUCGUCACGGCGUUCUACGUCGUCCUCGGGCCCUACCUCGGCAGCACCGUCGCCGGCAACACCCUCCUCGCGCUCUUCUCCCUCUCGGCCGCCGCCACCGCGGCUCUCUACGUGCGCUGCACCGCAGUCGACCCCUCCGACCGGACCCACGCCAAGAAGGUGAAGAGGCAGCGCAAUCUCGCCAGGGGCGGCGGGGGGAGGCUGCCGAGGCUGCGCUACGGGUACAUCCUGUGGCGGUACGCGGCGCGGCUGCUCAAGAGGAUCGAGGUCCGCGUCAUGAACCGCUGGGUGCGGAGGAGCUACCUCGAGCAGUGGAACUCCAGCGUCCAGCUCGACCCCAUGCUCCCCUUUGCCUUCACCAGCCUCGAGGACAUCGUCUCGCCGCACGCCACCGACGACCAGGACAUCUCAUACUGCCCAAUCUGCGACUGCGAGGUGAAAUUGCGCAGCAAGCACUGCAAAACUUGUGACCGGUGUGUUGAUGGAUUUGAUCACCACUGCAGGUGGCUCAACAAUUGCAUAGGGAGAAGGAACUAUGCAGCAUUUAUCAUGCUAAUGCUCUUUGUUUUGCUGAUGCUUGUUAUUGAGGGGGGAACAGCGGCUGCGGUUUUUAUUCGCUGCUUCAUCGAUAGCAAAGGGUUGAAAACAGAAAUGGAGCACAGGCUUCACGUAAGGCUACCUAAAGGAGCUCACGCAGCAUUAUCUAUGGUAUUUGUCAUCUUCACUUUGUACAGUACUGCAGCAUUGGGUCAGCUCUUCUUUUUCCAUGUUCUGCUCAUUAGAAAGGGAAUGAGGACAUAUGAUUACAUCCUUGCUAUGCGAGAAGCUGCACAAGCAUAUGAUCCUUUUGAUGACUCUGAUUUUUCCUCGGACGAGAGCAUUGACUUCGACUCUCCAGAAAGGCCAUCGUUCUUGUCAAGGAUCUUAUGCAGAAAAGAUGAAGUGAAUGAGAGUACCCGAAAGCUGUCGAUUAGGAUCGAUGAGAAGGAGGCCAAUGAUGCAACAAGAAGGAAGGAUGACGUCUCGAUCAACCCAUGGACGUUGAUCACUAUGAACAAGGACAAAGCAAUGGCAGCCGCUGAGCGCGCUCGUGAGCGAAUCAGGCAGAAGUUGCCAUCCACGGCCAUCUCCCCGAUGAAACCAUUGCCAUUGGAGACAAAGAGAGGUCCUUUGAACCAGGAGAGAAGAUCCAUCAUGACAGGGAAGGAGAACCAGGAGAGAAGAACCAGCAUGACAGGGAAGGAGAUCGUGCCUGUCCUCACAAAGAGCUGGCUGUCAGGAUCACCAACUGCAAGGUUGUCGAGCCCAAGAAGACGGUUCUCAGGGUCAUCGUCACCCAAACCUCAGAGGUGCAGGGCCAACUUCGACUCGAGACUAACAGAGGUGUCAAGAGAGCUUGAUGCCCACGUCUCGAAGCAGGUCAUGUGCCCUGUUGUCAUGACGGGCGCCGAAGAUGAAGGUUCUUCAUCAUAA